AACGAACGCUGGCGGCAGGCUUAACACAUGCAAGUCGAGCGCCCCGCAAGGGGAGCGGCAGACGGGUGAGUAACGCGUAGGAAUCUACCCAUCUCUACGGAAUAACGCAUGGAAACGUGUGCUAAUACCGUAUACGUCCUUCGGGAGAAAGAUUUAUCGGAGAUGGAUGAGCCCGCGUUGGAUCAGCUAGUUGGUGGGGUAAAGGCCUACCAAGGCGACGAUCCAUAGCUGGUCUGAGAGGAUGAUCAGCCACACUGGGACUGAGACACGGCCCAGACUCCUACGGGAGGCAGCAGUGGGGAAUAUUUGACAAUGGGCGCAAGCCUGAUCCAGCCAUGCCGCGUGAGUGAUGAAGGCCCUAGGGUUGUAAAGCUCUUUCACCGGUGAAGAUAAUGACGGUAACCGGAGAAGAAGCCCCGGCUAACUUCGUGCCAGCAGCCGCCGUAAGAC
rnacentral:rRNA from 1 species